UACGUAGGGGGCAAGCGUUGUCCGGAUUUAUUGGGCGUAAAGAGCGUGUAGGCGGCCAGACAGGUCCGUUGUGAAAACUCGAGGCUCAACCUCGAGCUGUCGGUGGAAACCGUGUGGCUAGAGUCCGGAAGAGGAGAGUGGAAUUCCCGGUGUAGCGGUGAAAUGCGCAGAGUAUCGGGAAGAACACCCGUGGCGAAGGCGGUUCUCUGGGACGGUGACUGACGCUGAGACGCGAAAGCGUGGG
rnacentral:rRNA from 1 species